rnacentral:rRNA from 1 species
UACGUAGGGUGCGAGCGUUGUCCGGAAUUAUUGGGCGUAAAGAGCUCGUAGGCGGUUUGUCGCGUCGGCCGUGAAAUCUCCACGCUUAACGUGGAGCGUGCGGUCGAUACGGGCAGACUUGAGUUCGGUAGGGGAGACUGGAAUUCCUGGUGUAGCGGUGAAAUGCGCAGAUAUCAGGAGGAACACCGGUGGUGAAGGCGGGUCUCUGGGCCGAUACUGACGCUGAGGAGCGAAAGCGUGGGGAGCGAACAGG